rnacentral:snoRNA from 1 species
AUCCUAUGAUGAGGACAGGCGGCAACAUACUCCUUUAGACGUUACCAGGCUUCUGGUAUCGACUCAACCUUAGUCUGCUAGAAACUCGAAAUCCUUUCCCGAAGGUC